rnacentral:rRNA from 1 species
CACGAGUUCCGUGCCGCAGCUAACGCAUUAAGCGCCCCGCCUGGGGAGUACGGCCGCAAGGCUAAAACUCAAAGGAAUUGACGGGGGCCCGCACAAGCGGCGGAGCAUGCGGAUUAAUUCGAUGCAACGCGAAGAACCUUACCAAGGCUUGACAUAUACCGGAAACGCUCAGAGAUGGGUGCCCCGCAAGGUCGGUAUACAGGUGGUGCAUGGUUGUCGUCAGCUCGUGUCGUGAGAUGUUGGGUUAAGUCCCGCAACGAGCGCAACCCUCGUUCUAUGUUGCCAGCACGUGAUGGUGGGGACUCAUAGGAGACUGCCGGGGUCAACUCGGAGGAAGGUGGGGAUGACGUCAAAUCAUCAUGCCCCUUACGUCUUGGGCUUCACGCAUGCUACAAUGGCCGGUACAAAGGGCUGCGAUACCGUAAGGUGGAGCGAAUCCCAAAAAACUGGUCUCAGUUCGGAUUGGGGUCUGCAACUCGACCCCAUGAAGUCGGAGUCGCUAGUAAUCGCAGAUCAGCAACGCUGCGGUGAAUACGUUCCCGGGCCUUGUACACACCGCCCGUCAAGUCACGAAAGUCGGUAACACCCGAAGCCGGUGG